rnacentral:rRNA from 1 species
UACAGAGGGGGCAAGCGUUAUUCGGAAUUAUUGGGCGUAAAGGGCGCGUAGGCGGCCAUUCAAGUGACGGGUGAAAGCCCUCGGCUUAACCGAGGAACUGCCUGUCAGACUGGAUGGCUUGAGACCGGGAGAGGUGAGUGGAAUUCCCAGUGUAGCGGUGAAAUGCGUAGAUAUUGGGAGGAACACCAGUGGCGAAGGCGGCUCACUGGACCGGAACUGACGCUGAGAAGCGAAAGCAUGGGGAGCGAACAGG